CGCUGAUUUCCGAAUCAAUGAAUACUCGAAGAUAGGGCUUUUGACAAAGGAAUGGACCGACGUGCUUCAUUUCAUAUUUCCUACAAGGUAGAUUUCUAUUUUAAAUAACUGAAAAGUAAAUGCAUCAAUGAAUUGUCACUAAACUUACGCCUUAAACCACAAUGUUAUCACAAGAUCUACCCGUCCAUGAAAUUUUGAUUUACUGUAGCAUAAAAGUAAUUGCAGAUCUAUUAUUAUUUUUUAUUACAAUGUUGAAUUAAAACAAGAACAAAUAUUGAAAAGAUGUAUUUGUGAAAUUAUAUCAAGCAUUUGAUUAUAGAUCUAUAUGGAUUUAAUUGUUCGUGUAACUCAAAUGCUUGUAUGGCUCAGUGGUUAGAGUCGAAAUCUAGCGACGCGAGUUCGAAUCCUACCACCGCCAUGUAUUUUUCUGUCGUUUUUAUUUACCAUAAGCAUUGUUGAAUUUGUUACAGGAUAAGCGGCGGCACCUUAAGAAAAGCGCAACCAGCCUGGUUUCAAAAGAACACCUGAAUGCGAUAUUCUCUAUCUUCAGAUGGUAUAUUCUGUGCACCAUGUUACGUCUUUGCAAGCAAAGAUGGUCGAAGCCAAGUGUUGAACAAUUUGCCCCUGACAGAUUGGUGCAACAUGAGUAAAAUUGUAGACCGGCACACGAAAAGCAAGUCUCAUAAUGACCAAUUAAUCGCAGCUGAAAAUUUCAUCGCCGUUGCAAAAGGGAAACAAAAAGAUAUAGAGCGUACUUGUGUAUCACAGUACCACGCCAUGGUUGAAAAGAAUAGAAAAAUCCUUAGUGGCAUUGUAGAGACAAUUAUUCUCUGUGGGAAACAAAAUAUUGCCUUGCGUGGCCACGAGAAUGAUUUUGGCAAUUUUAGGGUGCUCUUACACUACCAGGCAAAGUACAACCAGGUUCUAUCUGAACACUUAAACACAUGCAAUCCUAGAACAAAGUAUACUUCCCCACAGAUUCAGAACGAGUUGAUAUCCAUCUGCGGUAAAAUCAUAACUGAUGACCUGGUUGCUGAGUGCAAUGAUGCAGGUGUGUUUGGAUUUAUGGCUGACGAAGCUACAGACGCCGCGACCAUGGAACAGAUGUCGCUGUGUGUUCGCUUCGUGGACAAGACGACGUCGACCGUUCGGGAGGAAUUUUGGGGGUUUUCGAGCACGACUAGUACAACAGGCGAGGUUCUGGCAAACGCAUUCAUUGAUAUCCUCACUAAACUAGGUGUACGCACUGAGAACAUGCGUGGACAAGGAUACGACGCGGCCAGUAAUAUGUCUGGGUAUCGCGGAGUGCAGGCAAGAAUCCGACAAUUGAUACCAGAGGCAGUGUAUACUAAUUGCAAGGCUCACUGCCUGAACCUAGCCAUAAUACACGCUUCGAAAGAAAGGUAUGCUAAGAACAUGAUGGAUACUGUCCAGCAGGUAGCCUUUGCCUUCAACUACUCCGCCAAACGACUUCUGUAGUUCCAGGAGACUGUGGCCGACGACAAUAUUAGCAGGGAGGCCAUGGCAGAGCGGACCAAGCUGCGUUCUUUGUGCGAGACCCGCUGGUCAGCAAGGGCCGAUGCUCUUUACACGUUCCUGGCCUCUUACAGUACAGUGGUCACGGCGCUAGAUUAGCUUUCAGCGGAGCAUGGAGACACGAAGGCGGGCAUAUACAAAAUGGCUGUACUGAUAUUCGAUUUUAUCGUGACUCUCGUGACAGUAGAGCAUGUUCUACUGGCCUUGGUGCCGCUUUCAAACGCUCUUCAGGCGGAAGAGUGCGAUCUUGUUAAGGCUGUGACUGACGCACGUGUAGUCUAUGCUUUACUUCAGGCGGAAAGAGCCGACGACAUGGUGUGGGAUAGUUUGUACGAAAAGUCAGUCGCUAUAGCACGAGAGGUCGACAUUCAACCGUCUGCACCUAGACACUUUGGAAGGCAGCAGAAUCGUCCAAAUGUUCCGGCAGAUAAUGUUAGUUCGUUUUGGAGAAACAUGUAUCUUCCUUUCGUGAACCAUCUGCUGACAGAACUUGAUGCAGGGCUAUUGCAAGCCAACCCACGCUUCCCUGCCCAAAAACGCAUUCCUUCGGCCAUUCAGAGCGAUGGACUUUCAAGUGACGUCGUUUCUGGCAAAUACCAAGCUUUUAGGACAAGCUUACCUGUCGACGAAAAUGUUUUUUCCGGGAAUGUUCAAGAUGGCGUCAGUGGUGGACAGACGCAGGCCUCGCUGAGCACCGCCCAGAGACCCCUAGCACACUUCAAGGAGCCCUGAAACUGGCAAGCAGCGACCUCUACCCAUCCGUAAGAACGUGCUUGGCAAUACUAACGGUCAUGCCGGUUUCCACUGCAACCGCGGAAAGAUCUUUUUCCGUAAUGCGUCGGGUGAAGACCUAUUUGAGGAGCACUAUGGGGACAGAGAGGUUAUCUGGUUUAGGCAUUCUGCACGUGUAUAGGGAGAAGGAGCUUGAUCCUGAUAGGAUUGUUGACAUUUUUGCUAAUAAUCAAAAUAGGAGGCUUGCGCUGUUAUUUAAAAACGAACAUUGCAAUCAGUAAAUAUUCAGAGGUUGC